rnacentral:sRNA from 1 species
GAUUGGCGGCCGGAGGGAUGUCAAAGCUGCCCCGCGCACGUGGGUGGAGGCUGCGGAACUGCGAUUGCUGCCGGGUAGGACGAGCUCUGUCUCGGAAGACCUAGGCUGUAGACGUGGGGAUUUCAGUAGGAAACAUUAUGGAUCUGUGGAGCUGCUUAUUUCCAGUGAUGCUGAUGGAGCCAUCCAAAGGGCUGGAAGAUUCAGAGUGGAAAAUGGCUCUUCAGAUGAGAAUGCAACUGCCCUGCCUGGUACUUGGCGAAGAACAGACGUGCACUUAGAGAACCCAGAAUACCACACCAGAUGGUAUUUCAAAUAUUUUUUAGGACAAGUCCAUCAGAACUACAUUGGAAACGAUGCAGAGAAGAGCCCUUUCUUCUUGUCCGUGACCCUUUCUGACCAAAACAAUCAACGUGUCCCUCAAUACCGUGCAAUUCUUUGGAGAAAAACAGGUACCCAGAAAAUAUGCCUUCCCUACAGUCCCACAAAAACUCUUUCUGUGAAGUCCAUCUUAAGUGCCAUGAAUCUGGACAAAUUUGAGAAAGGCCCCAGGGAAAUUUUUCAUCCUGAAAUACAAAAG